CUGUUGUAAUAUGGAAUGUUGAGGUAAUUAUGCCAUAAUGUAUUAUAGUGUAUUGGUGCAUUAGUGUAUAAGGAAUUGUAGGUGGAGCAGUCUACAAUGUAAGCUACCCCCCCCCCCCUUCCUCAUCAGACAAUAGCCUUACUUUCCCGCCUUUUUGGGGGUACCUGUAUUGCCCAAUGUACUGAUACCCUAUAGGCAUGAUUGGGGAUCCUAUUGUAAGUUUUAGUGGAUGAGUGAUUUUCUUUUGUUCGGGGUCUGUGCACCCAGAGCUGCUAUAGCAGGGACAGAGAGACAUUGUAGAUUGGAGAGAGAGGAGAGAAGCACUAAUUUGUGCCUGCUAAUGGAGAUUGUUAUUUACUUCUGGCAGAUCACAAGUCAUGUAAGUUGAUUUAUACUGUUGGAACUGAUGAUUAUUAUAUAUAUUUCAUAUUAUUAAUGGAUGUCACAUUUUAUGAAUUGCUGAAGAUAAGAUAGUGAAAGUUGAGGAUUGUUGAACCAUGUUGUAUGUACACUGAUAUAAUGACACUUUAUGAUAAAUGUGAUUAACUUAUUUCAUUUGCAUUACAUGUAUCAUGCUUUAUAAAGUAGAUUAUUAUGCUUGAAUUUCUGAUAAUGAUGAAAUGAUAAUUACUCUGACAAAUUAAAUUAAUUUUAAGUUUGUCUUUAUAUAGAUUGAAAACAUGUUUCUGUUAAACAAAGUCAAUUAAAAGAAUGACUACCAAAGAGGAUUUAUAUAUAUAUAUAUUUGAAUGUAAUUACAUUGUGUCAUGCAGUUUUCACAAAGUCAUUAUUGUGAAGUAAGAAUUGUUAUUUUAUUGUUGUUACCUUUAGGGCUGCAUGUGGUGAAAUCUCCUUAUUUGAUGAACUACACUUUCUACAAUAAGGUGGAAGCUUUGUUUAUGAUCAGGGGUCGGACGACAGCAUAUAGCGUUAGUGUUGCUUCGUCGUUAUAGUAUUGGCCGGGGCUGUGUUUUCUUUGGUGAAUAAAUGCAAGACUAAAGUUUA